rnacentral:antisense_RNA from 20 species
GAUAACCAAAUAUAACAGCAGGAUUCAAAGUAGGGUUAGUAAUUACUCGUACAUCACCGCCACCUGGUGCCCAAGUAUCAUAGACACCACCCAAGAACACAGCUUUGAUUACUAAUAAGAAUGCGCCCAAACCUAAUAUAAUUAAGUGGUAGCCAAUAAUAUUAGUCAUCUGGUUCUUAUCUUUCCA